AGUGAACGCUGGCGGUAGGCCUAACACAUGCAAGUCGAACGGCAGCACAGUAAGAGCUUGCUCUUACGGGUGGCGAGUGGCGGACGGGUGAGGAGUACAUCGGAAUCUACUUUUUCGUGGGGGAUAACGUAGGGAAACUUACGCUAAUACCGCAUACGACCUACGGGUGAAAGCAGGGGAUCUUCGGACCUUGCGCGAUUGAAUGAGCCGAUGUCGGAUUAGCUAGUUGGCGGGGUAAAGGCCCACCAAGGCGACGAUCCGUAGCUGGUCUGAGAGGAUGAUCAGCCACACUGGAACUGAGACACGGUCCAGACUCCUACGGGAGGCAGCAGUGGGGAAUAUUGGACAAUGGGCGCAAGCCUGAUCCAGCCAUACCGCGUGGGUGAAGAAGGCCUUCGGGUUGUAAAGCCCUUUUGUUGGGAAAGAAAAGCAGCAGGUGAAUACCCCGCUGUUCUGACGGUACCCAAAGAAUAAGCACCGGCUAACUUCGUG
rnacentral:rRNA from 1 species